CCAUGAGGACCCAAAGGGACGGGCAGCUGGAAGGCACAGUGUCCGCCUGAGCCUGGACAAGGGCAGCCCAGCCCCUGCCGCAGCCAUGGAGCUGUGGAGCCCAGGCCUCUCCCCCUCCCAGAGUGGGCCUCCAUCUCCAGAGGCUGGUGCCGUGCAGAAGGCGUCCUUGGGAAAUGAGGACAGCACGAAGCACAGAGGCCUACUCUCCAGACACAAAGUAGGAGCGAGUGUCAAACGCUAAACCCACCUUCAUUCAUUCAUUCGUUCAACAAAUACUUAUUGAACAUCUACUGUAGGCUGGACUUGGGCAUCCAACAGCAGGCAGGACAACCCCUGCCCGUGGCACCUACGGAGAGCUAGAACACUCACCUGCGACCGGUUUCUUAUAAAGGCUACACAUGUGCUGCGUUGAGCUCCAAGCCCUGCCCCAGCUUAGGGCUUCCCCAUGAAUAAGGGAGCUGUACUCUGAGAGAUGCGUAAGAAUUAUGAUAGGGUAGCAGGCGUUCUAGGUGGGAGGAGCGGCACGAGCAAUGCUGAGCGUGGAGAAGGCGUGCAGCACCGUCAAGACGGCAGCGGCCAGCCGAGGGGUGGGCGGGCACGAGGUCCUGGCGUAGACACUGAAGGCAGAGGCAAACCUCGCACCCAAGGCCAGGCCACAGCAGAAGCCAGAUGCAGAAGGCUAGAACACGCCACACACGUGCAGUCAGAAGAAAAGAUGUGUUGAUAAGCGGCACCCAGGCCGAGGGGCCCCGGGCCGGGGGCUGCCCCUACAGGCAGGCCACACUCUCUCCCGCUGGGUGUCCGGGACGGAGGAGAAAUGGGAGGCAGCUCAGGCACAGGGGCUUCCCCAACGGAGCCCUCGUACAGUGUUGUUGUAUCCGUCCGUAUGUAUGUGCGUGUUUCCCCCGACCCCAUCUGCAAAGCUCUGUAGGAGGGUGGCUCACCGUCCCCUUUCACGAGUGGCGAGCUACGGCUUAGCGCAGUCACUUGACUGGCCAAAGGUUUGAAAGGGACAAAGAAGGAAGACUAGAUGACACACUUCUCUCCAAGUGUCCCGAGCCCGAAAGUGCCAGCAGCCGCCGUUUGACAAGACAAUGAAAUGGGAAAUGUCUCUCCCCAUAAAUGCACCCUCGCACGCCGGUGAAACAGUUGGAUAAGACACGGACAGGGUUCCAUGCCAGGUCUGCGAGUACAGAUAUUAAAUGCUAGGUCAUUUACUGCAAGCCUCCGGACUAAAAUAAGCCAUUUCCAGACAUUGAAAACCAUAAAAGGAAACGCAAAAGAGUAACUGGAGAAAGGGCGAAAUGCAUGAGACGCUGUCACCUCGAGGACCAGUUGGCCGCGCAGUGCUAAUGAAUACCACACCAUGCAGGGCAGGACUUGCCAAAGGCGGGGCAGGGGUUCACCUGGAAGACGGGGUUGUCAGGGUCAUCCAGCAUGGCCACCCUGGCCACUCCAAGGGCAGAGAGGCAAUGUGGGAGUUGGGGGCUGCAAACUCAAACCCUACAGAUAAGGAUUGGCUGGGCAUGGCGGGGGGGGGGGGGGGGGGGGAGAGGUAGUAUGUGGAAAGACAAUGCCGGAGAGCGGGACCCCUGGCCCCACCCUCAGGUUCCCCCUCUCCUGCUCCCCUGCCGCAUGACAAUAUGCUUCCAGUGCCCACCUGAGCGCUCACCAGAAAGCCUGGCUCAAGCCCCAGCUGUAACAAGCUCUCUGGGGGCUCCCCACGGCCAGGCGAGGGGGCCGCCUCCCUGUCCUCCCACCCUGCACCUCUGACAGCCCCACCUCAGCUAGCCCAAAUCCAGCCAGCGGCGCCUGGCUGCUCCUCCCUGCAGGCCACCAGCUCACCCAGCCCUCAGAUGCCUGGAGCCCGAGGGCGCAGCCCACCCUGAGCCAGGCACUCCCUGCCCGUGCGCUUUGCGGGACUUAGCUGCUGCCUGUUCCCUGGGACAGAUGCUCCUCUCUUCUUUUGUCCUAACUCCAUCCCAGACGUGCAUGGCCCUGCUCUGUCACUUCAAAAUGCACUCGACUCAAGGAAAUGAGGCACACCCCCCUUCUUUAAGGAAAGAUGGGAGUCGGAGUUGAUGGAAGAAACCCCGUGGGGGCUUCCAAGCACCCGGCCAGCCCCACUACGCUCUACAUGGGGGGAGGGGGCUCUGGUCCCAGCAGGGUCUCCCCGAGGGCAGGCCGGGCACGGGCCUCAGCCGCCCCUCCCUCUGCGGCUUCUUGUCCCUGGGCCUCCCCACUCACCUCUUCUCACUCACAAGCUGUGGGGUGAACGUGGGCUGAGCCUGGGGUCCCUGCGGCAGCCCUGUGGGAAGGGGGCUGGGGGAAAGGCGGGGGCUGCUCCCGGGGUGGGGGCUGGCACCGUCCCUCCCCAUCCAGGGCUGCUCAGCACUGCAGUGGGCAGGCCUGGUCACCAGCUUCCCCCCUCGCCCCCGGCAGGUGCAGAACCCCAUCUUUGGGGCCUCGCAUCCCUUCUCUCCAUCCCGAAAACCCUCUCCGUGGCAGAGAGCAAGCUGUCGCCCCUGCAGGGCUUCUGUCUGCGUACCCCCACCCGCACCCCCACCCCGCGCAGCGGAGGCCAAGCUGGAACCACCGCUGGGUAGCUGCAGGUCCCCCUCCUGAGACCUCGUCUCUGCACGGAUCUUUGCCCGCCUCCGCUGCCCCACGUCCGCCCUCCGUGGCGCGUGCACGCCGUGCCCCACGGGGCUGGCCAGGCAGCCGGAGCCGCGCCCAGGGUGGGACGGGGUCCAGGCUGCCGUGGAGAGCCUGCCAUUGAGCUCCCUCUUUCACGCGUGUCGCCGAGGCCACGGCGAGCGUGCGAGCGACGAGCUGGAGUGCGUUCCGAGUCAUUUCUCACAUCUGAAGCUACGCCCUCUAGGGGUCAAGUGGAAACAGACCCUCGGGCACCCCCUGCAAUGAAAUACUAGGCCCUGUGUAGGGACUCCCAGAAGGGGACCCCUCCCCUGAGAGCUCAGGCACCCCUGGGGAGACUCAGAGCGAGUGAGCGGGGAGGGCGGGCGCUGGCUUCCCGUUUGAACUGCACCACCCACCGGUGCAAACCGUGGCUGGGCUCAGUUUAGCCAACCGAGCACUGGUGUUGCAAGGACACAGCAUGGGCUAAAAGUUGGCUCGAGGGAGAGCGUGUGUGUAUGUGUGUGUGUGGACAAAGAACCGGACUUGGCACGUGAAUCCGUGAAGAUUUCGUCUGCCAUGGGGAAUGUCCCGGCAGGAGCUGGGGAGGGGGAGCCGCCUGUGUGUUGCAGGUUUUUCAUCUCCGUUGUGUGUGUCUGAGCCCCGCUGUUUGCCUCAAUGGCAGCGGAAAUUUAAAAGGGACUUUUCUGGCCCAGGAAGAGAAACCCACCUGCCUGUCUCAGCGCCAGCCCCACGGGCACGGUUUGUCCACCUCCCACGGAGGUGCAGCCUGGAGGAAGCGGCUGUCCCCAAGUCACUCCUGCUUCUCUCUGGCUCAUCUGGGUCGUCCACUCUGUUGAGAACCCACUGUGGCUCACUGCAAGGAUGGGCUCCCGGGCAGCUGGGGUGCCGGGUCACGGGUGGGUCAGGAACAGGCGUGUGGAGGUGGAGGUGGUAUGGAGCGACCUGGAAGAAGAAACUCUUAAGGAGAAGUCCCAACCCCACCUCCCAACGUGGACGCACCCCCAGCCUCUCUGUUCUGCUCCAGACCUGUGUUCAAGGCGAAGUACGGAGCAUGGGGGAGGGGCCCAGUGUGCAUUUUCCAAUGAACUUGACUCUGAUGGGCGGCGUCGGUCCUCAGAGGCCUGACCUCCUGCAUCUUGUCAUGAACCACUCAGUAGCACGCGAGCCUUCCUUCCCACGCUGGGCAGGGGAAGCCAGUGCCUUCUGCCCUCGCCCAGGGGCUCUGCCCAGAGGUACUGCAGGCUUGUUUUCGGAUCCAGAGAAACUGAAGGAAGGGGUCCAGGCCGGGCCCUAAUGACACAGGUUACGGAGAGCCCCUACCUCUCGUGGCGCUUGCAUCGCGGGAAGUGGCAGAGCCGGAGUGGGUGGAGAGGGCUGGAGGAGGAAGGGCCCACUCGGCCUGUGUCUCGCCGUGCGCCGUGCGUGGUGCACGGGUCUCAGGGGGCAGAGGCUUCAUUCACAUUCUUUUGGAAGAGAAAAGGCGGGGCAGGGCGGGGGGGCGGGAGAAGCCUCACAGGAAGUGUGCAUGUCUUUCCUCCUGUGGGGACACAGCGUGGCCGUCCGCGGUGGAACCUUGCGUUUCAAAUGCAGGCUCUGCAGCAAGGAGCAGGGCCUUGGACCUGACCACGCGCGCGGCCUUUGCAAAGCGUUUUUCCUUUUGUCAUUUCAUUGACAUUUACUGAGUGUUCCCUGCGGGCCUGGGCCAGGGCGAGCACGCGGCCGAGGCCCGAGGCCCUGCCUCCCAGGACUCCACAGUCUAACAGUGAAGAUUCGGUUGCAGUACCGGGCCGGGGGCGGGGGGCGACCAAGCCAGGAAGCAGCCACGGCCCACCUGUCCCCACUUGUCAGGAGCAGGGGCUUUGAGGCAGUUGCCUCCCAGGAGGGCAGGGCAGGGAGGGAAGGCUGAGGGAUUACCAUUCCUGUAACAAGUCCUCCUUCCCUGUUUGGGGUAAGACACCAAGCUCCAGCCUCCGGGUUUUGACUGAUCAGAGUAUCUUCAGCCGUGCAGUGAGGCAGACGGCAAGGGCUCGCGUGAGCUCCCUCCCCCCAGGGUACAGAACAAAGAGUACACAGUUGGCGCACAAAAGACGGGGGCACAGGUGCCCCUAGAACUGGCCCUGCGGGAGCCGGGACAAGUCUGCUUAUGCACAGGGUGUUUUCCAGCUCUGGAAUCCGGACUUGGGAAGUGAAUUCAUAGGCAACGCAGGGGAAGGGGCGUCCCUCCCCAAAGGCCCUGUUGGGGCUGAAGCCUGGAGAUGCCGACCUGCGCUCGGUGUCCCCGCGGUGCUCGGCACCCGACGGACGUCCAAGGCGUGGGUCGGGGCAGCCUCACAGACCCCGAGGGGGAUGAGUGUCUCGCUGGUCUUGUUUCUUUAUUCUUGCAUUCCAACGCACGUAUCCGACUCCCCCGCCCCACGGGGAUAUGAGCCCCAGAGCGGAACUAGAAGGUGGAGGGGUGCCUGUCUUUGGCCUCUCCACUUCCACUUUGGUAUUUCCCUCUGAUGAGCCCCUCUAAACCUCCGGGAAGCCCCGGGUCCAUUCUGCCCCUCCAAUUGCAGCAGCCGUGGGUGCCCAGUUCUUCCCCGGCGUCCGUGGCUCGGGCUCCCCAGAAAAGCCCAGGCCUGUCAGGAGCGCCCCUGCCUUCCCCUCCCCCUCCACUGGGCCAAGUAUUGUGGAAAGAAAAAUACGAAUGCCGCAGCCCCCGAAGCCGGCUAGGCCUCUCACCUCCUCCCCCACCCCACCCCCACCCACGGGGCAUCCUGUGGCUCACUUCUGCCUACACACAGCCAGCCACCAAGUCACAAGGCUGCCUGUCGCCGAGGCCCUGCGCCCCUUAGGAGAAAUGUGGGGUGCCUGCUUUUCCAAGCAACCCAGAAAGAGGUCAGGUCUCUUCUGGUUUAAGAGGCAGGAUCUGCAAGUGAGCCCACUGCCCUCUCUGCCUGCUUCCCCGCCCCCAGCCCUCUCCCUGCUCAGCAACACAAACUUUGGGGAGCACCUCUCAGGCCCGAAGCCCCGCCCUACUGAAGCCUUGCACCUGUGCCUCCACACCUCUGGAAGGAAGGGCCCGCGGGGCGAAGGUCCUGUUGGAUGCACCACUGCCUCCUCACAGCCAGGUGCCCAUUGGCUGAUGAUGUUGGGUCACCACAGACAGAGUAGCUAUCCUGCCGGGAGAACUGACAGCCGCCAAUUGCGACAGCCCUGCCUCAAGCCCACAGAGGCCGUGGGCUCCAAGACUGGCAACCUCAGUGGAGCGUGCGGGGGGGCUCUGUUUACUGGGACACAAGGAGAAUGCGGUGCCGCGGCCACAAAGAAGGCAGAAAGCCCGGCCAACUGCAACUGGCAAAAGACAGCUUUGUUCUGUGCGGCGAGAAGCCUAUCACAGAAGAGAGAAUGGGCCCGCCGCCCCCCACUCUGGGAUCACAAGCCUUCUGGGGGGUCCUCUCCCCACAGAACCUCUGGUCCCUCCUGCCCACCGGCUGUGACUCCUCACAGCUCCUGACUUGAACACUUGCGGCCUGGAGCCCGGCGUGGCAGGUGCCUCACCCAGCCUCCGAUUCUCUCCAAUGAAACUCUUCCACGGGGCACAGGGAGCUCCUGCAACUGCCCAGCAGGUGCCUUGCUCCUCGGUGCACCCCAAGUGCAGUCAGUCGAGGACGGGGGCCAGGACCACCUGGUGACACAACCAGGAGGACGGUGCAGGCCUCCUGGAUGGAGCCAGGACAGUGCGGGGGGGGGGGGGGGUCAGCACUGAGUGUGUGGCUCCUCCCACCAAGUGUGGCUCCUCCCACCGAGUAUAAGGCUCCACCCACCAAGUGUGUGGCUCCACCCACCGAGUACCUGGCUCCACCCUGCACCCCAGUUUCCUCUUUUGUAAAGCAAAAGUGGCCUGGGACCAAACCCUGAGGCAGGCCGAGCCCAGGAAAAUAGGUUUGUUUGGGCUCAUAGUUCCAAGGCGCCAGGUCCCAGGGCCACGGGGUCCCCAGGCAGCACGUGCAGGGCUUCACGUGGCAGAGACGGGGACGUGGGCUGCCAUCUGUCCACAUCUGUGUGGGUGGCACCUCCCACCUGACGCAGCCACCAGGCGCAAGCACGGGGCUCCACCCUAAGCGCCUGAUACCACCUGCCCAUGUCCCCCGGGCCCUACCCGCACUCACCCCUGGCGGCAGCAGGGACACCCGCCUUGGGGGCGCACCCCAAGUGAGGAUCAUCUGUGGCCGACUCCCGGGUCCAUGGUACGUGCUCAAUAAAUGAGGCGUCGGCAGCACAGGAAGCUGCGGCGGCAGGAGCGCUGCUGGCUCUGGACACCCGUCACCCACCACACCCACGCAUCUUCACCCACACGGCACGUCAGCACCUUCCCAGCUGCCCGCCAGAGGCACUGGGCAAGAGGGUCCCAUCCCACUGGCCACAGCAGCGGCCGGCAGUGGGGGAGGGGAAGGGCGGGUCUUGACCCCCUCCUAGCAGGGGGCCGGGGGCCUCAGUGUCCCCAUAUGUAAAAUGGAGGGCUUGGGCCUCCUGACCUGCUGGGGCGUCUCUUGUCAAAGACGCUGAAUUUGGCUUUUGAAGGGAAAGCAGACUCGUCUUCCGAGGCCGACGCAUGGAGAAAAAGUGGGGGAGCCACAUAGCCACGCCAGCGUCUCCCUUCCAAGGAGCCCUUAGAGUGCCCCAGGCGGUCCUCCCAGGUCUCCCAGCUGCUCUGGAGGCUUAAAAACCAAAACCACAAAGCAGCAACAGCAGCAGGAAGAGCAGCACGCGGCCCUCCCACAGGGCGGGGACAGGGGACACGAGGAGGCGGCUCGCUCCUGCUCUCCACUCCCUCCGUUCUCGGUGAGCCCAGUCCCAGCGCCCUGGCACUGUCUCUCACCCAAUUCCACACCCCUGCCUGCAAGGCUGCACCUCGAGUCCUGCAAAGCCUGGGACCAUGGCUGGGAACUGAGUUCAGAACGCCAGGGGCCCACACCUACGAAACCCCAGGCGUGGCCUGGACGGGCAAGCCACUGUCCUCUGAGUGCCGGCCCGGCCCCAGCUGUGCAGCCCACGGGGCCGGUGCCCGGGGUUCUGGACCCCCUCUCGCUGGACCGUGAGCUCCUUGGGAACACUGGCAGCACCUCGCUCCCUCCGCCUGGCGAGCAGCCAGCCAAGGGACUGCGCAAAGGGGACGGAAAGGUGGCAUGGGGGCGUGAUGAGCGUGAGCUCACUGGCGGCACCCAGCGAGGUGGCAGGCCCUGGAGCGAGGGCGGGAGCUGGGGCCCAGGACAGAGGACGCUGGGGUCAGCAGCGCUGGGUGAGCACAGUGGGCGUGUCUGCAGUGAGCAGGCCCAGCAGGAGGGGAGGGGGGGUGGGGAGGACACUGCGGGGUGGGAGAGAGAAGGGGAGGGGAGGACAGGGCGAAGGGGUGGCGGAGAGUCACUGAGGGAGGUGGGGACGGGCAGAAAAGGGGAGAAGGGGGAGGGGAGGACGCAGCAGUGAGGGGGAGGGGUCCCCCAUGGGAGUGAAGGGAGGAAGGCCUUUCAAGAAGGAAAGGUUGGCCGGCGCCGCGGCUCACUAGGCUAAUCCUCCGCCUGCGGCUCCGGCACACCGGGUUCUAGUCCCGGUCAGGGCGCCGGAUUCUGUCCCGGUUGCCCCUCUUCCAGGCCAGCUCUCUGCUGUGGCCAGGGAGUGCAGUGGAGGAUGGCCCAGGUGCUUGGGCCCUGCACCCCAUGGGAGACCAGAAGCACCUGGCUCCCGGCUUUGAUCAGCGCGGUGUGCUGGCCGCAGCGGCCACUGGAGGGUGAACCAACGGCAAAGGAAGCCCUUUCUCCCUGUUCCCUGUCUCUCUCUCACUGUCCACUCUGCCUCUCAAAAAAAAAAAGGGGGGGGGGCGCAGGGCCCUAACAGAGUGGUUUUGAGAGAGAUGCAGGAGGGGCUGGCAGAGGGAGAGCAGCGUGGGUGGUACUGAGUCCCCAGGACACUCUGACACUCCAAGAGAGCUCUGAGCCCGCGUGGGCUCUGGUUGUCUGUCUAGUGAAGGUGAGACUCCCUGCGCCGUGACCUGGGGUUGACCCGGAGACGAGUGGAGACUUCCCGUGUCCAAACUCCGCAUGGACAGGCACCCUCUGCCUCCUACCGUGCGGCUUCCUCUGCGGAGGGGGGCACUGAACUGCUUCACAGGGGAACAGGCACCAGGGAGACCCCACCCAGGCCCCCCCGGCAAGCGGGCCUCACCCACGCUGAAGCCGCCUUACCCACAUGGCCCAGGUGAGCCGUGGCCUCCUCGGCUUGGAACACCCGGCAAGGAGCCCGUGCUGCCGCCCAGAGCUUGCGUCCCACGGCAGGGAGCAGUGUUCGCGUGGCUCCUGGAACCGCAGAGGGAAGCAGCAGGGUGCCCUUGCCUCUGGAAGCAGGGCGAGCCCGGUGCGUCCGGGACCCUGGACUCCGUGAGCGAGAUCUCGGUGCCUGUUUCUUUGUUUGAGAAGCAGGAAGAAUUUUUCUCGAGUUUUGGAAGAACGCCCACGUUUUCAAAGCCCUUGGGGCAGUGACCAGCACAUACACGGCCGAGCUGGCUCCUUCCACUGGGAAUGCCGUACGGGGGCCGUACACACAAGCCCACGACGUGCAGCCUGCGCCGUCUUCGCUAGGAAUUCAUUCAUUCAUUCAACACAGGUUUUUGGGGUGCCGCGGCAGCGCCAGGCACACCGGGAGGAUCCAGUGUCCCGGCUUUGGUCUCCAGCGCCGUGCAGGUGCUCGCGGUCAGGCGUGGGCGCUCAGUGGGAGCGGCUCGGCUCAGCAAGGGAAGUGGAGCUUCCAGCCCAGGCACCACCCCGUCUCUGCCCCUGGGGGAGUCGCCGGCAGCAUGGGUCUGGCAGCCGUGAGCACGUGAAUUGCUGGGCUUUUCCUUUGUCCGCUCAGCUGUUGUGCAGAAUUUCUCCUGGCCCUCCUUGUCCAGUUGCCCUCAGCUCCCAGCAGGGCUAGGGAGAGGCCGGAAGCUACACGGUUUUCUUCUCCUUGACUGAUUUGUUAUUCCGUGGCACAGCCCCCACUUUGGCAAUUUUUCUGCAAAAGUUGACCCCAGGUUUUGCAUCCAUGGGCCUGGCUGCUCUACUGCGAAGCCAGCAGCUCACCCGCCCCAGCCGCUGCUGACGACGAAGCCGACACUCAGUGCUUGGGGGAUUCUCAGCGUUCUGCAUGGGUGUCCCUGGCAUCCUGCGCCCACGGUACCCUCAUGUCAUGCCAGAACGGCAUUGGGGGCCUCGCGGGAGAGCUGGCAGGCCUGCAGCGGCUCCUGUAGAAACCCCGAGACACCUCUCCCGGGGCCGAGCGGCGGGCGCCGCAGGUGUCUGAGUCCCGCUCCAGAACACCCAGUCAUUGUCUUUGCAGAGUGUUCUAAUGUCGACAGCGCCGGGAAGGCAGUAGCUGGGACUCGUGCUUAGGCCUUUGUCAUUUGUGAUCUUCAUGCGGCUCACAGCGACUCGCUCACGCCAUACCGAGUGCUAUUCUGGGGCUCCUCCCUGGAACCUCCGUGGCCGCCCACAGCCGCCACUCACAACCUUGCUGCCUGAAGCGUGGUCCCUGGGCUCGCAGCACAGUCACAGGCUCCACCCAGGCAGCUGAGCUGGGGCCCGGCCAUCCAUGCGUAUCCCACAAGUUACUACUAUGCUCCCAUUUUAUGGAUAACAGGACCAAGGCACAGCGAAGCUAGGCGACCAACACAAGGGCCCCCAGCCAGGAGGCGGCAGAGCCCAAGGCCCCUCACACCACACGUGCACUGUUGCUAUGACCACUUACACAUCUCCCCAAGGCCACUUCUUGUCCCCAGGACCCAGAGAGCCCCGGCCACCUCCCUCUGCUACUGGCCCCUCGCCGUGCUCAGCACACAUCACAGCCUCUCGUGUUCAGUGCCUCCCCAGGACUCCUAAGAUCGCUUCUACCCAGAGGGGAGCAGACGCAGGACAACGUGGCACCGGGAUGUCCUCACACAGAAGACUCUCCACUAGAAGGCUCCAUGUCCCUGGGAAUCGGAGCCCACAGGUCACUGCUGCCCAGAGCCCUGGCUCGCCUGGCCAUGCUGGCCAGAUGGGGCCGUCUGUGCUCACAGCGUGCAGAUGGCGACACGCUGGCCACAUUUGUGCGUGGUGUGAGAGCAUGGCUCUGCUCUGUCACCCCUGUCAGAAGAGGGCACCUUGGGUUUGCGUGGGUAGACACUGCUCCUGUGAGUCAGUGAACUCCUGGGGUAUCCGGGUCCCAUGAGAAAUGGGGAGAAGGGAGCAUCCGGCUAAGGACAGCUCUGCGUAGGAGAACUGGCCACCCUCCAGAUUGCACUUGCCCACCAGAGGCCGUAGUGGACACAGCCCAGGCUGUUUAAUGAAGAGUCUUCAUCCCAACAGCCACCAGCUGGACACCCGAGCCUCAGCGUGGAAGUGGACGUGUGGUUUUGCUGCCAGAGCCACUUGGGCCUUGGAGGCGCCUCCACACCUGCUCCUUCCUAAUCUCAGUGCUCACUGCACUAAAGUCUUAGCACGCGGGGGCUGAUGCCUGGGCCACGUGGCAUGGCCUGCCCAGCCCCUUGGGACCAAGGAGGAGUUCUUCCCGCUGCUUCUAACUUUGGGCCGCCAGGUACUGCAGGUGUACGUAGCUCCUGCUGUGAGUUUCAAGGUCUUGUGUUAAGUCCAACUACCCUCUACAAUCGGCUUUGGGGAAAUCCAGGAUGGAAAACUGAGUCCUGGGCCGUAUCUGCCUGUGCAGCAGCAUUUGUGUGUGCACACUCACCUGUGUACACGUGUGUGUGUGCAUGCAGGCAUGCGUGUAGAUGCAUGAGUGCACGUGUGCUUUAAAUCUCUGAUGCUAACGCUUCCUCCAAAAUGGUCACACAAGAAAAGUCACAAAAUAAAUAAAAUAGCCCAGAGACUGUCAGAAGAGGGCCCUGAGAGAUGCCCCCACUGGCUGUCACCAGAGGAAGUCCCUCCUUGGCGGGAACCCUCAGUAUUUUGAUUGGCAGUGAAGUAGUAACUACCCCUUGGUUUUUAAGCCUUUGUCACAUUUGCAUGUGGCCUUGCUAUGGGAAGAGGGAGGAGUCCUGUCCGAUCGCUCAGCUCCUACCAUGUCGAGAUGCAGAAACCCCCUGCUCAGCCAUGACACCCAGGGCCCCAGCGCUGUCAGCCCCAGUCCUGGAGCUCACAGGCUCGCAACAGGUGCAGCAGUGAGCCACUCCCAGGAGCCACUCCUCCACGACCCCACAGAACCCCCGGAGACUUGCCUGUCUGUCAUCAUGCUAAACCCGACCCCUCUCUCAGCCUCACAGAAGGCUCCUCCACCCGGACCCUGUGGUGUUCUCUGCUGUGGGUGACCCUGUGCCUGGCUGGGAGACUGCCUGCCUAGCCCAUACAGGAAGUUAAGAGGGCACGGCACACCAUGCCCCCCGGGAAAAAACCCUGGUUGAGGGCUUAGCACACUGAGACCCCCCCACACAUAUGACCUGACUGCUGUCAGGAGGCAGGAGCCCCAGGCACAUUUCCCCCACCCCCACUUCCUGUUGAGGGGCCUUGCGAUUGUCAACUAGGUGAGCAGCUCCUGGGUGUGGCCCAGACCCUUAAGACCAUCUGAAAGUCUACGUGGGCUACGUGACCUCAAGCUGACUGGAGAAGCAUAGUGGCGCCAGUAUCGGCUUCAUCCUAUAGAAUUAGUGUUGCUACCCUGAGCUAGCUACUCCCCUUCACCUGCCCUAUAAAAGCUUGUGCCUGACUGCUAGUAAAGGGACACGUUCACAGAAACGGUCUCCAGUGCUUCUUGUCAAAGAACGCCGUCACCCCACCAUCCCCACAGUGUGGGCCUCGCAGGACGAGCCCACACUCUGCUGACUCCCAUUGCUAGAAAAGACUCCUGGAACUCAGUGGGACCCCACGCUCCCACCACCUGGUCCCAGGAGCUGAACAACGCCCCCCCCAAGCCUCCCCAAGUGCUGGGUAUCCCCUGCUGGAUUCCCGAGAGGAGGACGGCUGCCCAGCGCUAGCCUGUGACUCUGCAAACCCCUGGGCGUGCUUACGGAUAGCGACCCCUCGUGCCUGUUCAAACAAGACGGAUGCUCGUCCCCCAUCAUCAGGAAAGAAAUGACCGCUCCCACAGAGAGGGCGCUGGUGCAGCCCGCCCAGAACCUGUGGAGCAGGAAGACAGGAAGGCCAGGGGAGCCAGCACUGUGGCACACACCCGUGACCUGAGCCCCAGGAGGGGCGGAUGCUGGAGGCGCCCUGGGAAGUGCCUCAGGAGAGGGUCUGGGUGAAGGAGGGCAUGGCGUUUGAAGGGGCUCUCAGGCGGAAAGCACACUUCCUUUUAGGAUUUGCUCUCUCUUUUUCCCUAAAAGAAGACAACGUAGCCUCCCCCAGCAGCACAGAAAGGCCCCCGUUAGAAGUAACGCACGGAUUCUGGUGUGGAUUCCCACCUGUGAACUCAUCCGCACAGAAGAAGGCACGGGUGAGACAGGGACAUGGAACAGCCUGGGCAAGAAGACCGGGCCUCCCAGCGACCACCGGGACUUUGAGCAGGUGAGCUGUUCUCUCUUCUGCACAGUGCAGGUGAGCGCACUUUACUUACCCAGCUGUUCUGAGAAUGAGGGGGUCAGCGCUGUCCAGCACUUAGCUGUGUGGGGGGUGAGUCCUGAACGGGCACCGUGGGAGCCACAGCAGCACCAGGGCAGCAGUGACCAGCAAGGCAGAGACACGGCCCGUGAAGUGUCGGCACAGGUCUGCCCAUUCGGGCAGCAGUGACCAGCAAGGCAGAAACACGGCCCGUGAAGUGUCGGCACAGGUCUGCCCAUUCUCACGGCACCGUUGAUUCUCCAAGAGUUCUUUGUAUAUUCUAGACACAAGCCCUUUGUGACAUACACAUAUAACACACAAAUAGACAUUAUAUUGAAAUAUCUCUCAGUAUACAUUUGAAAUAAACACACCAUAAGGCGCUGGAUAUCGUUAGAGGUUAGGGAAAGGCGAGGUGGGGCCACCGUGAGCUGACACUCGCGCGUCACAGGUGAAAGCACACCAGCACUGGGGAAGGUGUGGGGACACGGCAAGCCUUGUGCCUGCGGUGGGGGCGGGGUGCAGAUGAAGGAAUCAUUUUGGAAGACAGUUUGGCUGUUAAACAUUCACCCACGGUAUGCCUUGGGUAUUUACCCAAGAGAUAUGAGAGCCUAUGUUUAUGCAAAGAGCUGCCCGAGGGUGUCCUAGCUGCCCCCCUGCUCCCUGGAGCAACUAAGUGGCCCAAGUGCCCAGGCCCAGCGGAAGGGACAGAGGCUGCGGCAUACUGACCCCUUGGGACAGACAGGAGGACGAAGGCGAACCUCACGGCCUCCAUGCCGGCAAAAGAUGCCAGACACCAAAGAGGACGCCUGUGCGCUUUCUUUACGUAGAGUUCAAAGACAGGCAAGGCUGCUCUGGAGAGAGGCCACGGCGGAGCGGCUGCCUCUGGGAGGAAAGAUUGGCUGGAAGGGGGCUGGGGAGCAGCGGGUCUCACCCGGGAGAUGUGUGCCCCCCAGAGGCGGCAGUGCUGGGCACGUUCUGAUGGCUGUGCCAGCCACAUCCAGCGGGCAGGAGCCAGGGAUGCUGGUAAGAAGCCCCAGGCACAGGACAGCGACUGGGGACUGGGGACCCCGCCCUGGGGAGGCGGAGGUGGUCUGUGGCUUGAUCGGUUCCAUGAGUGUCACACACCUGUGACAGGGCGUGCACGCUGUGUCAUGAUUCCCCCCAUCGAAUAAGACACCCACCAAAAUAACCAAGGAGAAGAAUCAGCCAGGGAUGCUGCCUUGGGCACAGCUGCCCUCUGCCUCCUGUGAGCUUGUUUUCGCUUAGUACAAUGACCCCAGCUCGCUUUUGGUUACUCUUCGCACAAAAUGGCUUUCCCAUCCAGCCUCUCGCUCUCAACCCGUUUGUGCCUUUGGAUCGAGAGACUGGUGGAGCGCACACAGGAGGUCUUCCAGAAGUCCGUGCAGAAUGUGUACAUUGAGAAAGCUAGGCCGGCGCCGCGGCUCACUAGGCUGAUCCUCCGCCUUGCAGCGCCGGCACACCGGGUUCUAGUCCCGGUCGGGGCGCCGGAUUCUGUCCCGGUUGCCCCUCUUCCAGGUCAGCUCUCUGCUGUGGCCUGGGAGUGCAGUGGAGGAUGGCCCAGGUGCUUGGGCCCUGCACCCCAUGGGAGACCAGGAGAAGCACCUGGCUCCUGCCAUCGGCGGCCAUUGGAGGGUGAACCAACGGCAAAGGAAGACCUUUCUCUCUGUCUCUCUCUCUCACUGUCCACUCUGCCUGUCAAAAAAAAAGAAGGAAAAAAAAGAGAGAAAGCUACAUGCGGAUUGCAAAAUUUCUGCACCAAAAUAGACAUUAUCUUUCCAUUCAAUUUUUCCAGGAACUCUUUGAGGUCCCCUCAGUGAGCCUUUUUCCUCCGUUCUCUCAUUUUCUACGUUUUAAUGGGAACUUCAUUUGUAUGUAAGGCGACUGUGAUCAGGACUGACUUGCUCCUGACACUUGGCUAUCUGUUUCCUGCCUGUCAGUUCAUCCCCGCCUUCUCUUCUGUUGAUUUUGACCCUCAGCCUCUCCUUGAGUCUUCUCAUUUCUUUUUCUGCAUAUUUUUACCCGUUCUUCUGUUACUGGCUUUCCCGAGGACCCCACCACCAGAAAUUUAGAAGGGUCUGGCUUGAACUGAUGGCCUCUUGGCUUCCAUGAUGACCACCAGCCCUGCCCACCACGACUCCCCGUCCUUUCACUCUGUGAAGGGCGUGCCUUGCAGCUGCCUGAGCGUCCACUCCCUGGAAGCCAUCGGGCAGGUGACUCCAACGGAGCCAUCUCCAAGCCGGCUGCCUUUUUCUUCCACCCUCUCAACUGUGUCUGAACCCCCGGCAAAGUUUCCCUCUGGCUAUGGCCCAUCAAAGUCUCAGCGUGUCCGUGAGCUCCCUGAUGGCCGUCUCUGUUUGUUUCUUGAGAAGCUCUUUUUCGUGGUGGAUGAUCCUCCUGCGGGGUUUCUGUAGCUUGCUGAGCGCAUUUAAAAGCCGGUGCCUUAAAUAUAAGGUCUUUGUCUUGUUAGCCAAUGUCUUGGGCUUCCCCUGGAACGAUUUCGGUUCAUUGGUUUUUUUUUUUUUUUUCUUUUUAUUUUAUUUAGUUCUGCUGUGAAGUGGCCCACCUUCCUUGCUUGUCGGCAAGUCUCAUAGUUUCUGGUUGAAAACUGGAUUUUGCACAGGAUACUUCAGGACCUCUGCCCCCUCCCCAGAGAUGACUCCUGUGGCUUGUGGAGGGUGGUCGCAUUGUCACGCUGUUCUUUGUCCUCCUCCACUGCUGGCUUUGUGGUCAGCCGGCGGCUUUGACAGAGAUGCCCUGGAACACCUGAAGCCAGAAAGGAAAGCAAAGCCCCACGCUCCCAGUCUGCGCAGGCGGCUGGGAGUCGCUGCUCCCUCAGCCCUCACUUUGUGCUCUGCAGAGCCUGACGGUCAGCCGGACACGCAAGGCUGAGGUCUUCUCGGGUCUCUUCCGAGCCCACGUCUAGCGGCAGGCGUGCACUGGGUCCCGUGGCGCACCCAGGAGCUUUCUCAAGCCUUGAGGUGCCAAGCGUCCCCUCCUGCAAACUCUGGUUGCCUGCUGCUGGCUCAGUGGCUGUCCCCAGCCCCAGCCGGCUGCAGGCUGCAGGCUGCGUGCCCCUCCCAUGCUUUGGACACCGACAUCCAGGAGGCCACCUCAGCCCUGACAGUGUUGCGAGGGUGAAGCAGGAGCCGACUCUGAGCUGAGAGCUCGGGGCGCCUCCAGACCACUGGCUCUUGGAGAACAAGACCCCUGGUGCCCCCUCUGCCUCGAGCAAGCCACAGAGAGUGCGGCGUAGGCUGGGGUGGGCGCCAAAGCCGCAAUGAAGCCGGGCAUGGGGGAUUAACACCCGGAUAAGCAAAGACACCGCCGGUCUCACCAAAGUUUGGUGCCUUCUUUCCUUUGCACUUCUCGGAUCAUUUUGAGUUUUCUUUACCAGGGUCUAGAUUUCUGGAAGCGCGGAUCCUGGCAGCUUUGGGGGCUGCUUCAUCUCGCUUCACUGGAGGGAGACGGGUCCUCAGAGCUCCACCUCCACCAUGCUCCCAAAUGUUACUUUUUAGAUUUUUUUAAUCUUUCAUAUUUUUCCAAUGGAAUCCCCAAAAAGUCUCCGUUUUAAACAUAUUGAAGUCUCAUGUGCUGCCUUGAAUAGGAUCCGCUUUCCUUAAAACUUGGAGAGAAGUUUGCAAGAGAUGUUUGCAACCAAUAGGACACAAAGUUUAACUUCCAUCCACUAAAUCAACCACAUUGGCUCUUUUAAUCAAAAAUUCUGUUUUCUUGUUAGUCAAAGAUGAAUCGUACAUUCAGUUCUCUUGUUGUCUUCUCCUCAUAUUUCCAAGUUAAUGCUCUAUAACUUAUGCUGUUAUUCAUCAAAGGAAAUUGGUUCUAAAUCCCCAUUGUACCUUUGCAUUUUAGCUGUUUGUUUCAUUUAAUGCUUUUCGCCUAAAAUUCGAUUCUGUCAAAUAUUUAGCCUGCCUUCUGUGCUUUUUUCCUUUGUAGUUUUCCCACUCGUUUUUGGCGUUUGUUUCACUUUUAACUUGAAAACGUGAUUCGGGGGCUGGCAUUGUGGUGUAGCGGGUAAAGCCGCCGCCUGCAACACGCAUCCCAUAUCUGCAGUGGUUUCAGACCCGGCUGCUCCACUUCCUGUGCAGCUAGUGUGCCUCGGAAAGCAGCAAAAGACGGCCCAGGCGCUCGGGCCCCCGCACCCAUGUGGGAGACCUGGAAGAAGCUCCUGGCUCCUGACUUCAGCCUGGCCCAGCCCUGGCCGUUGCGGCCAUUUGGAGAGUGAGCCGCUGGACAGAAGAUUCUCUCUCUCUCUCUCUCUCUCUCUCUCUCCCUCCCUCCCUGUAAUUCUGACUUAGACGUCUCUAAUGCAGCAUUCAGCCUGUUUGACAUCAUCUCAUGGCCACUCCGUUGGGACGAAACAUGGCUGCUCUUCUGUCACGUCAGCCCACGCUUUUGGUCCUCCUGUUCCCUGGCUCUUUUCCACUUUAUUUCAUUCCAGGCUGAAUGGUCCAUUUCUGUGUAUCCUCGGGUUUACAGUUAUGCCUGUUUUCUAAUCUACAAGUGAUUUGUUUAAUUUUAAAAAACACAUUUGAACUUUUUCCUCUAACUGCUAGAGUCAAAAGUUGAAUGGCCUCGGUAGGGUCACCGGGACCUUGGUCCGCCUCCUCUCCUCCGCCUCACUUUCAUAGAACUCCAGCUUUAGUUUUAGAAACCUGUGAUUUGGGGAGCCUAUAACUCAGUAUGUCUUAACACUGUUUGUCUACUGUUUGGCUAGACGCUGGAACUGGUGUCCAGUCGUGUGGACAACUGCUCACGCCUGCAUUUCUCGCCAGUUUCUCUGCUCUAGGAAACCAUGACUUCUUCCUCCUUGCCAGCGUUCUGCUUCUCGGGCAGAAGGCGCACAAGUGCUCCAGGAAGAGUUCACAGGACUCAGUGGAGGACCCCUCCCCAGAGUGCUCAGGUGGCGGCACGGGGAGGUGCGGCCAUGGAAGCAGCGCGCGGAGGAGCGACUGAAGGGACAGAGACGGCCCCGUCUCCGCCCUGGGAGGAGAGACGGCCCCGUCUCCGUCUUUCCCCAGGUCGCAGACUCUCUAUCAAAGCAGGGCCAGUGUCCCCAUUAUGUGCAGCCCUGGCUCGGUGCCCAGGGCCCAAGACCCACUCAGGACUCAUAAAAAUAUCUUCCGUAACAUCUGAGAGGGAAAAAAUGCCUCUCAUCCAGCUUGGAGUCCGCUUAUCUUCACAAAUAUAAGUUCAAAAUCCUUUGGUGGAGGGAGAGCCCACAAAGGAGUGCCUGCAGCCCAGGAAAGCCGUCAGGGGACCCACACACGGGCGCCCUCUGUCCCCCGGAGUCGCCAUCUCCCCCCUCAGAACUCGGCCUGGCAGUAGCGCCGGUGAGGAGAUUGGUGGAUUUGGUUUGCUGAUAUUCAGUGUGCCCCUGGGAUCUGGAGUAUCCCGCAUUCCUUACACUCACAGUUUACCUGGGCGAAAGCAGUUGGAGAUUACCUCCUCGUCAUUACUUCUGUCCAGAGUGUCUCAGGCUCACGCGAGCUGACAUCUGUUCGUCUGACGGCUCCUUCCCGCUCUGUCACUUUCUCCCUCUGGCAAGUUUUGGUUUGUGUGCAUUGCAUCGUCCAGGCAGGGGCCUGCAUCCCUGCGCCAUUCCUUGUCCUUGGAGAAGCACUCCCAGGGGAGCGUCUCAGGCUGCUGUCUUUAAUUGGUGUGGUUUCCGGGGUCGCCAGUGUGCCGCCUACUGUGUCGUGGACGUGGUGAGCUGGACCGAGCUUCCACUCCCUUCAGGAUGUCCUGAGCUUGCUGCCACCCCGGCAGCGGCCAGGAAUCCUGCCGUGAAUGCCCUCUGGUGCCCCUCUGACCCCGGCAGGCUGUGGUCCAAAAGCUCAUGUCCCCCCCGAAAUUCACGUGCUGUGACCUGGGAGCCGGACUUCCGGUCCUGAGCAGGCUGGGCUGGGAUACAGACGAUGGCCGGGUGUAGACGCCGUGGACAGCAGAUUUCCUGGCUGCUUCCUGUGUCCCUGCAGUCACUGCAUGUUUGUGAGUGGUCGCCAUCUCUCCGGCACAGGGACAGCCUGGUGUCGGUGCGGCAGCCACUCCCUCACCCACUUCACCACUCCCUCCGUGGGGAGUCUAACGCCUGCGUCCAUGGAGUCGUGACCGAGACCAUGGUUGUUCAAGGUAACACUUUGUGGCCAAGGCAAGCGUCAGCGCCAACUUUGAAAACGGAAGCCGGAAAGCCUUGCUUUUCAAAUCUCUCACAUUCUGGACAAAUCUCAGGCACGAGACCGGGGGCCUAGCAGGCAAAGUCGUCACCAUGAUCCUACGAAGAACCCUGGGCACGAAUUUCAAAAACCUUCUUGUGCCAUUUCUCCAUUUUUCCAUGAAUUUUCUGAAGAACCCUACAGGGUUGCGCUGUGAUGUCUCACACCCAGCCACCCAAGCCGGCGGACUCAGCACCAGGAAUCACAAACCCUCGGCCCAGGAAGAGCACCCGGCAGAGAGCCUUGCACGUUUCCGGAACCUUCAGCACCGAGCAGCAGCUACCAGGGGUGCGUGCUCACGGUCGCCCUCUGCCCCCCAGCCUGAGCCCCGUCUCUACGCUGGAGAAAUGGGAGGUCUCCAGAGCUGCGCACUUGCUGGCCGGGGGUCCCACUGUGCUCACCUGGGUCCCGCUAGCCCUGCCAGAAAGCAUCGUGUCCUCCCGUGAGCCAUGUCUGCUAUUCCGUGUUCCUUGGGUGCACCCCUGGGUGGAACAGGGCUCCCAGGCUACGCUUGCACACUGCGUCACGCGGCACUGGCCUCUUGCACGCAUUGGGAACACUUACCCGCCACCAGCCAGCACCAACCGUCCAAUCUCCCAUAGACUGAAAUGUGAGGGCCAUGUGGGAACCGGUUUUCCUGGACAUUGGGGACACAGCGCUGAGCCGCAAUGGCGUCCAUCAGAUUGCAAACCGCUCAGUCAUCGACAGCAGCCGGAGUAGGGAAGACUGAAAAGCUCAGGAAAAGCCAAAGGUUCUUUUUGGUCCUUGCUUUUCCUAAAAGCCGAAUGCCAGGUACUUCUUGGUGCGCCCAACAGAUGCAAGUGCGGGGCCCAGCCAGUCGCGGCAGACUUAAUCCUGGGUAGGGGACUGUCCAGGGUGACCAGGAACCCAGGGGCGGAAUGGCGGCCAGUCUGUGCUCCCGCAGCUCCGGCAUGAAUCCCAGAUCACCCACAGAGAAAUGAGCAGAGCUUCGGAGGAGCAUGGUCCUCAUCGCAAAGCCCCCACAGCGCCUGGGAGCCCAAUGUCAGCUGAAGGAUGUAUGGACUGAGUCCCAGGAGAGCAAGGGCUCUGCGCCAGGCAGCCCCGACUUGGCCAGCAGCGAGCGCACUUUGGGGAACUGACUGCUCACCCCUGAAGUGUGCCGCUUAUCACCCAGCCCCACGCUUGGUGUGGAAAUUCAGGGAGCACGCUCUUGAAAACACUAAACAUUGGGCUUGACACAGAGAAGUCACUCAGGAAAGCGUGCUGUCCCACAGAGGGCAGAAUCACACUAUGAUAUGGCUGCUGCUUCCUUGUCAAGGGACCAAGACAUUGUAUAGAUACCAAAUCCUGCACUGUCCGGUGUUAGCCAUAGAAACCCAGCGUCCACCGAGACAGCGCCCAGUGGGCCGUCCACCCACAGCAGGCGUGAUCUAGCAGGUGCUGGCCAACCUGCUAGGCCUCCUCACCCACGGCCACCCCCGCUGCCUGACCCAGGGUGGGGCACUCAGGACUCAAACAGAGCUGACCUGCCGGGGAGCUGGUGUGGGCGAUGGGACAAGGCAGCCGGCGCCUUGAUAAGCACACAGUGGCUCAGAGACUCCCGGAUGAGAGUCCUGGGCUCCCCAAGUCUGGGCUGUGACGGUGCCUAGAGGGGGAGACGCUGUAGACUGAGGAAGGUUGGUCACUUCUCUGUCCUCAGCGGGAUUAUCAGGGAAGGGCGGAGCUGGGCAAACAGCCCAGGGCCAGGCACGUGUGGGCUCUUUGGGGCAGGGGCACAAGGGCAGCAGCCCGGCUGAGUCCUGUUCCCACGGCGGAACCCCAGCCUCCCUGCCAGUAAGGACAGGCUCGUUCAGUCCCAAGGAUCUGUCUCCCAUCGGCCGGGGGCUGAAGGUGGUUUCCGUGCAUUUCCCAGGCAGGGGGCACAGCGUCGUUGUCUUCCUUCUCAUGAGCCUCUGACCUGGGGAGCCGAGUGCGGCUCGCUGCCCGCACUGCCGGCGGAGCCUCCAGACAGUGCCCCCGAAGCUGAAACGUUUGUGGCUCUCAGCUAUUUGGUUCCUGGCUCAGCCUGUCUGUCUGUGCCAACCGCUGGGAUUCAGCACGCGUCCAAGGCAAACCUCAGGCAACGUGGGGGGCGCUGGGUGCCGGAGGGUGGUCACCCACGUCGUCGCUCGCCCCGAGUGCUCAGAGCCGGCAGCCCUGUCCCACCUCUGGAAAUUAAUGGUGCCAGCUCAGCAUAUUGGCAGAGAAAGGAAAUUUACACAGCAAACACACGUGCUGAAAAACUGGAGAUAUUUGCUUAGUGGGAGCUCAUUGAUUGCAGUGACUCCAAGAUCAGAUGACACGGCCGGCCAGGCGACCUCAGCACAGCAGGCAGCGGCCUCGUAUCGGCAGGACACUGAUGGAGAGCCCUCUCCCGGGUCCAGAUGAGCCAUACGAGGGGUGUUCAUCUCAGAAGUGGCCCAUAAUUUUUCUCCAAACCCAAGACUCUGCAUUAAUUCCAGCACAAACAAUAAUAAGGAAAUAAAAUCAGUGAUGUAUGUCUUUCCAAUAUCCGUCCUCGCUAAGAACGCCCCACUCCUCUGGUCAAUUAGAGCUCAUCUGAAAUAAAAAGCUGAGCCCGCUCCAA